rnacentral:rRNA from 1 species
GUAGGGAAUAUUGGGCAAUGGAGGCAACUCUGACCCAGCCAUGCCGCGUGCAGGAUGACGGCCCUCUGGGUUGUAAACUGCUUUUAUACGGGAAGAAAAAAUACUACGUGUAGUAUACUGACGGUACCGUAAGAAUAAGGAUCGGCUAACUCCGUGCCAGCAGCCGCGGUAAUACGGAGGAUCCAAGCGUUGUCCGGAUUUAUUGGGUUUAAAGGGUGCGUAGGCGGAACUUUAAGUCAGUGGUGAAAGCCUGCAGCUUAACUGUAGAAUUGCCAUUGAAACUGAAGAUCUUGAAUGUGGUUAAAGUAGGCGGAAUGUAUCAUGUAGCGGUGAAAUGCUUAGAUAUGAUACAGAACACCGAUAGCGAAGGCAGCUUGCUGAACCAUUAUUGACGCUGAGGCACGAAAGCGUGGGGAGCGAACAGGAUUAGAUACCCGGGUAGUCC